UACGUAGGGUGCAAGCGUUGUCCGGAAUUAUUGGGCGUAAAGAGCUCGUAGGCGGUUUGUUGCGUCGGCUGUGAAAACUCGGGGCUCAACCCCGAGCCUGCAGUCGAUACGGGCAAACUAGAGUGUGGUAGGGGAGACUGGAAUUCCUGGUGUAGCGGUGAAAUGCGCAGAUAUCAGGAGGAACACCGGCGGCGAAGGCGGGUCUCUGGGCCAUAACUGACGCUGAGGUGCGAAAGCGUGGGGAGCAAACAGG
rnacentral:rRNA from 1 species